GGGAAAAGAAGAGGCAAUCAGGAGUUCUCUCCAGGCACUCUUGGAAAGAUGGCAGACAAAAGGCAAAGUGUAUUGGAACGAGAAGUCUAGAAAACAGCCCAGGACAAUGGGUGACUGAGAAGAGAACAGGAAGAGUCGGCAGCGGGACUGAGACAUGGAGCCACUUCUUAUAAAUGUCACUUUGCAUGCUAAGUCGCUUAUUGUGUCCAACUCUUCGCGACCCUGUGGGCCUCCUGUAGCCAGCCGGGCUCUUCUAUCCAUGGGAUUUCCCAGCAGACUCUGGGGUGGUUCUCAGAAGUAAGAGGUCAAGCUAAAGAUUUUGGAGUCUUCUUCCAACUCUGGAUAAUUGAAGCCAAAAAAGGAACACACUUACAAAACUUGAAAAAAUAUUCAUUAUAUCCAAAUGGAAAUUAUUUUCGUAUUUCUUCAAAAUGUGUAUGGCUUACAAGUUUUUAUAUUUCUUUCUUUUGAGGUUUUUUUUUUAUUUUUUAAUUUAGCUAGUGAUGUGUAGUUAUCUUUGCUUCCCUCCUUUUUAUUAUUAUGCUUUUUUUUGCAUUAAAGUUACCUCUGGAGUGUAAAGCAGAAGUGUUUGCUUCCUGCUUUGGAAACUUUCUGUGGUUAUACAGAUUGGCACCACGUCACUGCCAGGUUAAUAGAGCUUCUUUAAAUGUAGCCAUAUAUUAUUAAAGCUGUGACAAAUACACUGGAGUUUUGUUACUUGUGAUGAAU